rnacentral:rRNA from 1 species
GAUGAACGCUGGCGGCGUGCCUAAUACAUGCAAGUCGAGCGAACGGACGAGACGCUUGCUUCUCUGAUGUUACCGGCGGACGGGUGAGUAACACGUGGAUAACCUCCCUAUAAGACUUGGAUAACUUCAAGAAACCGCAACUAAUACCGGAUGAAAUUUUGAACCGCAUUGUUCAAAAGUUAAAGAUCGGCUUGCUAUCACCUAUAGAUCGAUCCGCGCUGCAUUAGCUUGUUGGUAAGCUAACGGCUUACCAAGGCAACGAUGCAUAGCCGACGUGAGAGGGUGAUCGGACAGACAGGGUGUGAGACACGGUCCAGACUCCGACGGGAGGCAGCAGUAGGGAGUCGUCCGCAAUGGGCGAAAGCCUGACGGAGCAGCGACGCGUGAGUGAUGAAGGUCUUCGGAGCGUAAAACUCUGUUAUUAGGGAAGAACAUAUGGGUAAGUAACUGUGCACAUCUUGACGGUAGCGAAUCAGAAAGCCACGGCUAACUACGUG